GGUGAACGCUGGCGGCGUGCCUAAUACAUGCAGGUCGAGCGAACAGACGAGGAGCUUGCUCCUCUGAUGUUAGCGGCGGACGGGUGAGUAACACGUGGAUAACCUACCUAUAAGACUGGGAUAACUUCGGGAAACCGGAGCUAAUACCGGAUAACAUGUUGAACCGCAUGGUUCAACAGUGAAAGACGGUCUUGCUGUCACUUAUAGAUGGAUCCGCGCCGCAUUAGCUAGUUGGUAAGGUAACGGCUUACCAAGGCAACGAUGCGUAGCCGACCUGAGAGGGUGAUCGGCCACACUGGAACUGAGACACGGUCCAGACUCCUACGGGAGGCAGCAGUAGGGAAUCUUCCGCAAUGGGCGAAAGCCUGACGGAGCAACGCCGCGUGAGUGAAGAAGGUCUUCGGAUCGUAAAACUCUGUUAUUAGGGAAGAACAAAUGUGUAAGUAACUAUGCACGUCUUGACGGUACCUAAUCAGAAAGCCACGGCUAACUACGUG
rnacentral:rRNA from 1 species